rnacentral:lncRNA from 1 species
AAAUAUUUACAGUGGUCAACAUCCCGUCCCACAAAAAAAUGACGGGACAUGUGAAGAAGCAGGAACAGAUGACCUAAAAUCAGAAAAAAUUAAGUCAGUAAAUAGUUAUAGAUCAACAAAUGGCAGAGAUGAUGGACUUAGUAAACAAGAACUUUAACAUAGCAGGAGAAGUUGAAGUCAGACCACAAUCUACUGUGGAGCUAAUGUUUGCUGAUCAAAGGAGGACAGGCUAUGCAGUAGUAUGCUCCUUCCUUCCCUCUCUCCCUGCCUCUCUUUCUCCUUCCCUCCAUUUAUCCAUCCUUCAUUUCUUUUGUUGAGUUGGACCCAGAAGGACGUUAGGAUAAUAGGAUAAAGGCAGGAUAAAGCAGAAUCCUUCUACAGCUUAAU